rnacentral:rRNA from 1 species
UACGUAGGGUGCGAGCGUUGUCCGGAAUUAUUGGGCGUAAAGAGCUCGUAGGCGGUGUGUCGCGUCGGCCGUGAAAACCUGCAGCUUAACUGUGGGCUUGCGGUCGAUACGGGCAUCACUGGAGUUCGGCAGGGGAGACUGGAAUUCCUGGUGUAGCGGUGAAAUGCGCAGAUAUCAGGAAGAACACCGGUGGCGAAGGCGGCUCUCUGGGCCUUACCUGACGCUGAGGAGCGAAAGCGUGGGUAGCGAACAGG